GGCCCCCGGGGCCGGUGCCGCGCUGGGCCCCCUCACCCCGCCGCCCCCAGCCCCUCUCCUCCGCAGGUUUCUGCUCCUCUCCCGCCUGUCCCCGCACAGCAACACCGCCUCCCUUGCAGGGGGCUUGUUUCCUCGUAGUGGCGAGCGACCGUCCCCCCCCUUCCCCUCUCGCACCAGCUCGGGGGCAAAGCUCACUUUCCGCCCUCAUUACAUGUUCUGCUCCCUCUGGAGUCCCCCCCUUCCUUUUCCCAAGGAAUUUCCAGCAAUAGUGUUUAACCUCAGCCUUUAAAAUCCCUGGUGGCACAGACGUUGGCCCGACCUCAGCCCUGUGCUCCAGGCUGCCCAGCAUCCCUGACUCGUUGUACCCGUGAGGGUCUCUGCCCCAGACGGUCCCAGCAAAAGCAGCUUCAGGGCUGAAUUCAGUAGGGUUUCACAUCUUUUUCUUUUGCGGAGGUGAUACUACAUUGCCAGCUACGAUUUUUUACCAUAUGCAACACCAACACACUGGCAGUUAACAAGCUACAACACAGAACCACUUGGCAACACAGAGAAAAUGGGCAGAAAAUCCCCAAGCAAGAGGGAAAGGGGAGGAAAAAAUGAAAUGAAUUGACAGCAUUAAGCAUGCAAGAGAGAACUGUAAAGGAGAGGCUGCCAGGGAGCAAAGGUGCCCUCCCAGGCUUGUGCACAGUACCAAGUGCAGAACCUCAGCAGGGGAAGCAGCUACUGCUUAACCAUCAGAGAGAUGAAGCACCUGAAUACUUCCUGGAGAGCAACAGAGCUAUUACAGGCAGAAGGUAACUGGAGCUUUGACUUAAAUGCAAAUUAUCAAACACCGAACAGUCUGAAGCAGAGACCCAAGCCGACUUGGACAGAAGACACAACAGAGAUAAAUUUGCUGCUGACGUUUUAUCUUGGGUGGGAGUAACAAAGGGAGAAGAGUGAUCUCACUACUCCAAUCACAUUGCAUUAUGAUGUACCUUGGAAACAGAAAAGCAGUCUAGGUAACAGAUGAUCACAAGACAGAAGAAUAAGUGACCCUGCACUACACAGUUUUAUGUCCCAAACGCAGUUAAAAUCGAGGAGAAAGGACAAGACACUACUAAAGGAGCUGUUUCUAUCAAUUAUGGCAAGAUUUACUCAGAGCCCCAAUAAAGGGUCAGUGCAGACAUCGCAGCAGAAUAGAAGAGAGCUACAUUUAUGUUCCAGAGAGACACCUCUGAGCUGUCCUUGUAUGACAACAUCGCCAGAAGCUAAGCCAAUCAGAAAAAAAACCAACCAAAACAACAACAGAACAACAGCAACAAAGAACUUUUCAGAAGUUCCCUGACCCCAAACUGUUUAUAGACUAAGCAUUUCUACUCCAACAGCUUCAACAGAAGAUCUGCUGCCCAAAUAUUUGCUGGAUCUUGCUCCACUCUUUUGCCAGUAGACAGAAAGGAAGGACCCAAGGAGGUUCUUCACAUUCUGCACAGUGCCGGGGAUGCACAAACAGCUUCAAAGAUCUAUAGAUAGGAUGUAGAUACAGCCCUGUCUAAAAAAGUCGCCACCCUAAAAAAUUAGUAACUUGCCCAACUGGAAGAAGGUAAGCUACCUUUUUUACGGUAUCUGCUUUGUCAAAUUAAAAGAUACUUAACAAUUAAAAUCCAACUAGUCCCAGAGGAGUAAAAAAAGCAAAACCAACAAAAAAAUUGCACCUGCAUUUUCUUUUCUAGGUGCUGAAGAAACCUGCAUUACCAUUUAUUGCAAACCAAAAAGAGACAUAAACAAAUACACUUCUUGGUUUUCUGAUCAGGUAUGGCCAAUAAAGUGUCAGAUUCUUUUA